GCUCCUUCCCUCUUCUGACUACAGCAGCUGCAUCCCUGGCUUAUUCUUCUAAACUGAGUUGGUGAAAGCUGAACGGCACUGGUAGAGGAGAACAUGACGGAGGUUCCGUUAUCUCCUGAGUGCUUGCGAGCGCCUUGGCGUGUGGAAGUCCAACAUGAUCCUUAUUACAGCAGUUCAAGAAAAAAAUUUUUAAAAAGAGGGUGAUGAUGUUUAGCAACAGAAAAUGGAUUUCCUUGCUUCCAGACCUUUCAAGGUUGGCCACCUCCUUUCAGUGGGCGAGCUGAAGUGCUGCCUCUUAGACAAAUGUGACUGGAUUAAAGCAGCAAGUUGCAAAGGAAUCAACCCUUCCAAAUAUUGCCAAGAUGAG